AUAUGCCAAUGGGGGAAACCUGAUGCAGCUAUACCGCGUGUGUGAUGAAGGUCUUAGGAUUGUAAAACACUUUCAGCAAGGGAAAAAAUUAUAUAAAUAAUACUUAUAUUAACUGAUAUUACCUGCAAAAGAAGUACCGGCUAACUCCGUGCCAGCAGCCGCGGUAAUACGGAGGGUACAAGCGUUAAUCGGAAUUAUUGGGCGUAAAGAGUACGUAGGUGGUAUAUUAAGUCAGAUGUGAAAUACUUAAGCUUAACUUAAGAACUGCAUUUGAAACUAAUAAACUAGAGUUUUAUAGAGGGGAGUAGAAUUCCAAGUGUAGCGGUGAAAUGCGUAGAUAUUUGGAGGAAUACCAGAGGCGAAGGCGACUCCCUGGGUAAUAACUGACACUGAGGUACGAAAGCUUGGGGAGCAAACAGGAUUAGAUACCCUGGUAGUCCAUGCUGUAAACGAUGUCAAUUUGAAGAUUGUAAUAUUAUUAUUUUUUAUAAUUUUCGUAGCUAACGCAUUAAAUUGACCGCCUGGGGAUUACGACCGCAAGGUUAAAACUCAAAUGAAUUGACGGGGACCCGCACAAGCGGUGGAGCAUGUGGUUUAAUUCGAUACAACGCGAAAAACUUACCUACUCUUGACAUCUAUAAGUAAUAAAGCAGAAAUGUUAGUAUCUGUUUGACAGAAUC
rnacentral:rRNA from 1 species